CAUAAAUCUUUGUAAUCCUCUAUAAUUUUAGUCAAACAUAAAAUGGUUUGACUCUUUAAGAAAGUUGAAAUGGUCUACAAUUUAAAACGAAAGGAGUACCCGGAAGGAGAGAUUGUAUUUCGCAGCCAACCAGGUGUCUACGGCGUACUGCACACGUGUGCCUCGCUGUCCAAGCACGCAGCCAGGGAGGUGGCCUGCACCUUGCGCAUGCAUGGCCUUGGGCAAGCAGGGAGCCACCGCGAAUGCGGUACGAGCCAAUUCUUAGGAUUGCGUUUUUUAUAGGAUUUUUUUAAAUACUAGGAUUGUACUUUUCGUGAGAAGGAGGAAGUAUAGCUGCUCACACAUGCAUAUAUGUCGACAUCUUAAUGGGCUAUAAAGAAAUUAAUGGCUCGUUAGGACUCUACACUUCGGGCUCUUGGCAUAUUUCUCCAAUAAUUUUCCAUUUGCACAAGACUCAAACCGCGCUUGUGUAAACACUUAAGUGUCAAUAAUCAGCAUAUCCACUAGCAAGGCAUACUAACUCCCUAUGAUCCACGAUAAUUAUAUCCUGCAUGACAAAUGACAUUCAGGUAAUACCAUAUGCUUAUCACAUGACACCUAGUCAGGUUGAAGGCGAAGGUAGAGCUAUCCUUGGUGACUCAACUAUUUAUCACUCCAUAUAGAACUUAUUUCACUUACUAACCUUUAGUCAUGGCAGGACCAUGCAAGGUCAAUUUCUACAUAUUGAGAGGGCCCAGAGACAUCUCUUCUUAACAUCCUUUUGCAGUGGUGAAAAAUCAUGGCAAUAGGGUCUGAAUCGUGGCAAUAGCUACCAAUUGCAACAAUUCAUUGGGAGGCGUGGCAAGUAUUUUCGUUGUUUAUAUAUUGGUUUUUUGUUUGGUUGCAA